rnacentral:rRNA from 1 species
GUCAUCCAUAACACAUUCUGUUUUCACGCUAAGUGUAUUUGAUCUUGGAAGCUGAGCAGGUUUUAGCCUGGUAAGUACUCAGAUGGGAGCCUGCCUGGGAAUACUGGCUGUUGUUGACU